GCAUGUUAGAGGAGGGAGUCCCGGAGUGAGAAAGAAAAAAGAAAAGGAUUUAUUAUUAUUAUUAUUAUUUUGAUUUGUUUUAGAAGAACAUAUUCAAAGUAGGAAAAUACCCCACCAUCCCUUUAAUUUAAUCCCAAUACCAAAAAUCAUUGCUUUAGUCAUUGUCGUCUCAAAACCUUAUAAUUGUUCUUGUUUUGUAAUUUACUAUAUAUUCUCACUCAUCUCCAUUUAUCAUUUGUUUUCAGCCUAAUCUAAUCAUAUCAUUCACUUGGAAAAAAGUCCCUAUGAACAAACCACACCCGACCAGCAGGCAGGUUUGAAGGUUGACUGCAGAAAAACCGAAGCAUAGUUUCAAAAUCUGAUGCCGUAUGCUCAUUGACUAUGUUAUUUUUGUCAGAAGAAGAAGAAGAAAUAAAAGGUGAACGAACAACAAAUGCAAUAGGGACCUCACCGGCUUUAUCAUCAGGAUAUCUGCAGGUGGAAAUUCAUGGCAGAGGUUAACAAGAAAGUAUGAAAUAGAAAGGAAAAUCCACUACGAACGUCCACAUAAUGAUGGGACUAUAGAUGCUACUAUUUACU